UACGUAGGGUGCAAGCGUUAAUCGGAAUUACUGGGCGUAAAGCGUGCGCAGGCGGUUUUGUAAGCCAGAUGUGAAAUCCCCGGGCUUAACCUGGGAAUGGCAUUUGGGACUGCAAGGCUUGAGUGCGGCAGAGGAGACUGGAAUUCCUGGUGUAGCAGUGAAAUGCGUAGAUAUCAGGAGGAAUACCGAUGGCGAAGGCAGGUCUCUGGGCUGACACUGACGCUCAUGCACGAAAGCGUGGGGAGCAAACAGG
rnacentral:rRNA from 1 species